CCUACGGGAGGCAGCAGUGAGGAAUAUUGGUCAAUGGACGCAAGUCUGAACCAGCCAUGCCGCGUGCAGGAAGACUGCCCUAUGAGUUGUAAACUUCUUUUGUACGAGGGUAAACGCAGAUACGCGUAUCUUUCUGAAAGUAUCGUACGAAUAAGGAUCGGCUAACUCCGUGCCAGCAGCCGCGGUAAUACGGAGGAUUCAAGCGUUAUCCGGAUUUAUUGGGUUUAAAGGGUGCGUAGGCGGUCGGAUAAGUUAGAGGUGAAAGCCCGGGGCUCAACCUCGGAAUUGCCUUUGAUACUGUCAGGCUAGAGAGUAGUUGAGGUAGGCGGAAUGUGUGGUGUAGCGGUGAAAUGCUUAGAGAUCACGCAGAACACCGAUUGCGAAGGCAGCUUACCAAGCUACUUCUGACGUUGAGGCACGAAAGCGUGGGGAGCAAACAGGAUUAGAUACCCGUGUAGUC
rnacentral:rRNA from 1 species